rnacentral:rRNA from 1 species
AUUGAACGCUGGCGGCAGGCCUAACACAUGCAAGUCGAGCGGAUGAAGGGAGCUUGCUCCUGGAUUCAGCGGCGGACGGGUGAGUAAUGCCUAGGAAUCUGCCUGGUAGUGGGGGAUAACGUCCGGAAACGGGCGCUAAUACCGCAUACGUCCUGAGGGAGAAAGUGGGGGAUCUUCGGACCUCACGCUAUCAGAUGAGCCUAGGUCGGAUUAGCUAGUUGGUGGGGUAAAGGCCUACCAAGGCGACGAUCCGUAACUGGUCUGAGAGGAUGAUCAGUCACACUGGAACUGAGACACGGUCCAGACUCCUACGGGAGGCAGCAGUGGGGAAUAUUGGACAAUGGGCGAAAGCCUGAUCCAGCCAUGCCGCGUGUGUGAAGAAGGUCCUCGGAUUGUAAAGCACUUUAAGUUGGGAGGAAGGGCAGUAAGUUAAUACCUUGCUGUUUUGACGGUACCAACAGAAUAAGCACCGGCUAACUUCGUG